GACGAACGCUGGCGGCGUGCUUAACACAUGCAAGUCGAACGGUGAAGGGGAGCUUGCUCCCCGGAUCAUUGGCGAACGGGUGAGUAACACGUGGGCAACCUGCCCCAGACUUCGGGAUAACUACUCGAAAGAGGUGCUAAUACCGGAUACGAAUCCUGCAAGCACCUGCGGGAUUGGAAAGUUUUUCCGUCAGGGAUGGGCCCGCGGCCUAUCAGCUGUUGGGUGAGGUAGUGGCUCACCAAGGCGACGACGGGUAGCCGGCCUGUGAGGGCGACCGGCCACACUGGGACUGAGACACGGCCCAGACUCCUACGGGAGGCAGCAGUGGGGAAUAUUGCGCAAUGGGCGAAAGCCUGACGCAGCAACGCCGCGUGAGGGAUGACGGCCUUCGGGUUGUAAACCUCUUUCAGCAGGGAAGAAGCGAAAGUGACGGUACCUGCAGAAGAAGCACCGGCUAACUACGUGCCAGCAGCCGCAGUAAGAC
rnacentral:rRNA from 1 species